rfam:Daphnia magna strain Xinb3 contig17871, whole genome shotgun sequence.
GGUUCUAUGGUGUAAUGGUUAGCACUUCAGACUCUGACAAUCUGAGUUCAAAUCUCUGUGGAACCU